GCCCGUGGAGCUAGCACUUUGAAUGGACCAGUUCCGAUGGAUCACUGAAGGUAAUCAACGUUGCGUGUGGUUGGUAUCCGGAUGGGUGACCAUCUGGACAAUCGGGUACUACUGACU
rfam:Asian citrus Psyllid, Diaphorina citri - Florida Strain, whole genome shotgun sequence.